rnacentral:rRNA from 1 species
CAGUAGCCGCGGUAAUACAGAGGAUGCAAGCGUUAUCUGGAAUUAUUGGGCGUAAAGCGCGCGCAGGCGGCCUAUCCAGUCUGUCUUAAAAGUUCGGGGCUCAACCCCGUGAUGGGAUGGAAACUAGUAGGCUAGAGUAUCGGAGAGGAAAGCGGAAUUCCUAGUGUAGCGGUGAAAUGCGUAGAUAUUAGGAAGAACACCAGCGGCGAAGGCGGCUUUCUGGACGAAAACUGACGCUGAGGCGCGAAAGCCAGGGGAGCGAACGGGAUUAGAUACCCCUGUAGUCCCUGUCUCUUAUACA